rnacentral:misc_RNA from 1 species
GAUGAAGAACGUAGCGAAAUGCGAUAAGUAAUGUGAAUUGCAGAAUUCAGUGAAUCAUCGAAUCUUUGAACGCACAUUGCGCCCGCCAGUAUUCUGGCGGGCAUGCCUGUUCGAGCGUCAUUACAACCCUCAGGCCCCCGGGCCUGGCGUUGGGGAUCGGCGGAAGCCCCCUGCGGGCACAACGCCGUCCCCCAAAUACAGUGGCGGUCCCGCCGCAGCUUCCAUUGCGUAGUAGCUAACACCUCGCAACUGGAGAGCGGCGCGGGCACGCCGUAAAACACCCAACUUCUGAAUGUUGACCUCGAAUCAGGUAGGAAUACCCGCUGAACUUAAGCAUAUCAAUAAGCGGAGGA